GGCAGCAGUGGGGAAUUUUGCACAAUGGGGGAAACCCUGAUGCAGCAACGCCGCGUGGAGGAUGAAGUCCCUUGGGAUGUAAACUCCUUUCGACCGGGACGAUAAUGACGGUACCGGAAGAAGAAGCACCGGCUAACUCUGUGCCAGCAGCCGCGGUAAU
rnacentral:rRNA from 1 species